AUUGAACGCUGGCGGCAGGCCUAACACAUGCAAGUCGAACGAGUGGCGGACGGGUGAGUAAUGUCUGGGACACUGCCUGAUGGAGGGGGAUAACUACUGGAAACGGUAGCUAAUACCGUAUACUCUCAGAUGUGCCCAGAUGGGAUUCGCUUGUGUGUGGGGGAACGGCUCACCAAGGCGACGACCCCUAGCUGGUCUGAGAGGAUGACCAGCCACACUGGAACUGCGACACGGUCCAGACUCCUACGGGAGGCAGCAGUGGGGAAUAUUGCACAAUGGGCGCAAUCCUGAUGCAGCCAUGCCGCGUGUAUGAAGAAGGCCUUCGGGUUGUAAAGUACUUUCAGCGGGGAGGCGUUACCCGCAGAAGAAGCACCGGCUAACUCCGUGCCAGCAGCCGCGGUAAUUC
rnacentral:rRNA from 1 species